CGCCCCGUGGAACCAGAGAACACUAGAGACACACAGACCUAUCUGUGGCACUCUACGCUAAAGUUUCCCCUUCUCUCCGCCUGGAGUUGUAAGUGGUUUCUGAUUGAACACAGCUGUCUUGCUGCUGGCGAAAGGUUUCAUCUACAGUGUACCCUCAUGUGGCUUUGGAGUCCAAAGGCUGAGGCACAGAGUUUGUGGCACAUGGGGCAUGGGAUGCCAGUUGUUACGGGAAGUGCAGUUGUGGCCUGGUGUCGGCGUUCACGUGCAGCAGCAAGAUGUUGACGUCGCUCAUCUUCAAAGGAACAAUAAAGUGGAGGAAUUCCAUGGAGUCUGGAACAACCUCCAGGAAGUGAUGCAGAGCGAAAGGAGCAGAACCAGGAAAACAUUGUACACAGAGACUGAUACACUGUGGUACAAUCAAAGGAAAUAAUUCAAAGAUGACCUUCAGAAAAACAAAAGCAAUUCAAUUCAGGAGCAAGUUCUGUAAUCUAUGAAAGAAGAACUUUAGAAAAUAAAGGAAAAUGCAUGAAAAUAAUUCAAGACUAUUCUGCACCCACUAGGAAACAUAAGAGGGAAUAAAAUAAUGUAUUCUGAAAAGGGAUGGAGUUUAAGAUGCAACUGGAAUGCAUUACUCUGCAAAUCUGAGUUUAGCCUUACAUGAAAAAGAUGUAUAUUGAAAAAUAAAGAGUUUAAAACAUUUUAAGAAAGAAAAUUAAAACCAAAGUGAUUACAGGCCUCUUAAAUACUCCAAACAAUAGAAAUUCAGGAGAAGUGAAUACAUUUAACAGUGAGGGACAAAACCAAAUGAUCAUCUCAACAGAUGAAGAAAAAGUAUUUUCCAGAGUAAAAGGCAUAAUUUUAAAAGCCCUAAAAAGUAUAAGAAAAGAGGGAUUGUCCCUUAAUAUCAUAAAAAUAUUCUAUCUUAAAGCAAAAUUGGACAUCAUGUGUAAUAGGAGUAGGUUAGAAUCCAACAAAUAUAGGAGUAAAGCCUAUAUUCUCACUCUUCCCAUUAUUAUUUGACAUAAUGUUGGAAAUGUUAGCAAUAGCAAUAAGACAAGAGAAAGAAACUGAAGGAAUACAGAUAGGUAAAGAGCAAAUAAAACUAUUGUUUGAUAAAGAUGUGAUAGUUGAAAGAACCUAGGAAAUCAGCAAAGAUGCAAAUUAAGACAAUAGCUUCAACAGAACAGAGAAAACAAAAGAGAUUCUCAAAAAUUGACGUUUUUGUAAAAGGAUAACAAAGCAUGAUGCUAUAAUAGAAUUCCCAUUUCAAGUAACUAUGAAAUGCAUAAAAUAUCUGGGAACCAUCCAAAGGCACACAAAAGUCUUGUAUAUAUUCAGAAGUGCUAUUUAAAGAAAUAAAGAAUAUUUGAAAUACUUAAUGGCAAGGUUAUGCCAAUUCAAUGACAAUUGAUGACGAAUAGUAACUUACAAUUUUAAUAUUUUAGCAAUCAAAUUACCAAGAGAAUACUUCACAGAACUUUAUGAAAUAAUCAUAAAAUUCAUUUGGAAAAAUAAAAAUAGAAAGGGAAAUUCUAAAAAUAAGUAGAGAUGAAGGGGGAGUAGCAAGCACUCCCAGACCUCAUGAUAUAUUGAAAAGCGAUAUUAAUCAAAACCAUCUAGUACUGGUUAAAGAAGAAAAAGAUCAAUGAAACAUAUGAGACAAGGAGAUUCAGAAACAACAGAACUCAAUAAUUCAGUAUUUGAUAAAGUGGAAAACAUAAAUUACCUAGGGGGAAAAACUCUAAAUUUGAUUAAAAUUGUUGGGAAAGCUGAAAAACUGUCUGGAAGACAUUAGACUUAGACCUAUGCCAUAUUCCACGAUAUUCUAAAUGAAUCUAUAACCUUAACAUUAAAGAUCAUACUAUAUAAAAUAAGAAAACAGAUCAUAUAAGUCUCACAGUUAUAUAUAGGAAGUAUAUUUUUAAUUAAAGAAGUGAUAGAGGUAAUUACAAAAAAUCUAAUAGAUACUUUGGUUAUUUGAAAUUGAAAAGUUUCCACACGGACAUUAAUGCAUCUAGGAUAAGAAAGGAAGAGGUUGAAUGGGAAAAAAAUUCAUAAUUUUUAAUUUCUUUGAAAAGAAUUUGGUAAUCAAUAUAUAUAAACAAAAGCAAUAUUAACUACUGUAAUAGACAUUCUUUUUUUUUUCAGAUAUGGAACAGGUAAUUUAUUCCUACACACAAAAGGAAUACUAAACACAUACUCCUACUGGCAAACUUUUACAGAGCAAUGGACCCAGUAGCUUAAUUUAUAACUACUGUUGCAGUCUUCUGGGAGGAUAUUCUUUUUAUUGUUUUUUUAAUAUGUAUUUUAUUUUCCCAAUUAUAUGUAAUAAAAAUUUUCAACAAAUUUUCCAAAA